CAGUCGCCACGGGAAUACGGAGGGUGCAAGCGUUAAUCGGAAUUACUGGGCGUAAAGCGCACGCAGGCGGUCUGACAAGUCAGAUGUGAAAUCCCCGGGCUUAACCUGGGAACUGCAUUUGAAACUGUCAGGCUGGAGUCUUGUAGAGGGGGGUGGAAUUCCAGGUGUAGCGGUGAAAUGCGUAGAGAUCUGGAGGAAUACCGGUGGCGAAGGCGGCCCCCUGGACAAAGACUGACGCUCAGGUGCGAAAGCGUGGGGAGCAAACAGGAUUAGAUACCGUGUAGUCCCUGUCUCUUAUACA
rnacentral:rRNA from 1 species